rnacentral:rRNA from 1 species
CGCGGAAGAGCCUAAACCGUCAGGUUUACCUGGCGGGGUUGUGGGGCGUCUCACACGGAGUUACAAAAGACGCGCGUAGGUGAACAGUUUGGGAAAGCUGACCACAGAGCGUGACAGUCGCGUAGCCUAAACGCGCGUCUCUCCGAGACCAACCCCGAGUAGUGCGGGACACGUGAAAUCCCGUAUGAAUCUGGCAGGACCAUCUGCUAAGGCUAAAUACUACCUAGCGACCGAUAGUGAACCAGUACCGUGAGGGAAAGGUGAAAAGCACCCCGGGAGGGGAGUGAAAUAGUACCUGAAACCGUGUGCUUACAAAUAGUCGGAGCUCGUUAAAAGAGUGACGGCGUGCCUUUUGUAGAAUGAACCGGCGAGUUACGGUAGCGUGCGAGGUUAAGUCGAAGAGACGGAGCCGCAGCGAAAGCGAGUCUGAAUAGGGCGCAAGUACGUUGCCGUAGACCCGAAACCGUGUGAUCUAGCCAUGUCCAGGGUGAAGGUAGGGUAACACCUACUGGAGGCCCGAACCCACGCACGUUGAAAAGUGCGGGGAUGAGGUGUGGCUAGCGGUGAAAUUCCAAUCGAACUCGGAGAUAGCUGGUUCUCCCCGAAAUAGCUUUAGGGCUAGCCUCGGAAUAAGAGUCUUGGAGGUAGAGCACUGAUUGGGCUAGGGGCCCUCAUCGGGUUACCGAACUCAGUCAAACUCCGAAUGCCAAUGACUUAUGUCCGGGAGUCAGACGGUGAGUGCUAAGAUCCAUCGUCAAGAGGGAAACAGCCCAGACCAUCAGCUAAGGUCCCCAAGUGUAUGUUAAGUGGGAAACGAUGUGGAGUUGCCCAGACAACCAGGAUGUUGGCUUAGAAGCAGCCACCAUUUAAAGAGUGCGUAAUAGCUCACUGGUCGAGUGACUCUGCGCGGAAAAUGUAACGGGGCUAAACAUACCACCGAAGCUAUGGCUAGUAGNNNNNNNNNNCGAGUGACUCUGCGCGGAAAAUGUAACGGGGCUAAACAUACCACCGAAGCUAUGGCUAGUGAGAAUCCUUACGGAUCUACUUGGGUAGGGGAGCGUUCCAAGCAGCAGUGAAGCCGUACUGGAAAGAGCGGUGGAGCGCUUGGAAGUGAGAAUGCCGGUGUAAGUAGCGAAAAGACAAGUGAGAAUCUUGUCCACCGAAAGCCUAAGGUUUCCUGGGGAAGGCUCGUCCUCCCAGGGUUAGUCGGGACCUAAGCUGAGGCCGAAAGGCGUAGGCGAUGGACAACAGGUUGAUAUUCCUGUACCACCUUUGUUCCGCUUGAGCAAUGGCGUGACGCAGGAGGAUAGGGUGAGCGGCCUACUGGAUGGCCGUCCAAGCAGCAAGCCUGGUGUGUAGGCAAAUCCGCACACCAUAAGGGCAAGCUGUGAUGGCGAGGGAAAUUUUAGUACCGAAGUCCCUGAUUUCACACUGCCAAGAAAAGCGUCUAGCGAGGAGCAAGGUGCCCGUACCGCAAACCGACACAGGUAGGCGAGGAGAGAAUCCUAAGGUGCGCGGGAUAACUCUUGCUAAGGAACUCGGCAAAAUGGCCCCGUAACUUCGGGAGAAGGGGCGCCCCGGUAGGGUUUAUAGCCCGAGGGGGCCGCAGUGAAAAGGCCCAAGCGACUGUUUAGCAAAAACACAGGUCUCUGCGAAGCCGCAAGGCGAAGUAUAGGGGCUGACGCCUGCCCGGUGCUGGAAGGUUAAGGGGAUGGGUUAGCGCAAGCGAAGCUUUGAACCGAAGCCCCAGUAAACGGCGGCCGUAACUAUCACGGUCCUAAGGUAGCGAAAUUCCUUGUCGGGUAAGUUCCGACCCGCACGAAAGGCGUAACGACUUGGGCGCUGUCUCGGCAAGAGACCCGGUGAAAUCAUAAUACCUGUGAAGAUGCAGGUUACCCGCGACAAGACGGAAAGACCCCAUGGAGCUUUACUGUAGCCUGGUAUUGGAACUUUGUGCAUCAUGUACAGGAUAGGUGGGAAGCUGAGAAGCAGGGGCGCCAGCCUCUGUGGAGCUGUCGGUGGGAUACCACCCUUGAUGUACGGAGUUUCUAACUCGUCGCCCUGAUCGGGCGAGAGGACCAUGCCAGGUGGGCAGUUUGACUGGGGCGGUCGCCUCCUA